rnacentral:misc_RNA from 1 species
UCCGGUUUGGCACCGGCAGUCUCCCUAGAGUCCCCGGCAUAACCCGCUGGCAACAUCGGACAAGGGUUGCGCUCGUUGCGGGACUUAACCCAACAUCUCACGACACGAGCUGACGACAGCCAUGCAGCACCUGUGUUGCGGUUCCCUUUCGGGCACCAGGGUAUCCCUACCCCUUUCCGCACAUGUCAAGGGUAGGUAAGGUUUUUCGCGUUGCAUCGAAUUAAUCCACAUAAUCCACCGCUUGUGCGGGUCCCCGUCAAUUCCUUUGAGUUUUAACCUUGCGGCCGUACUCCCCAGGCGGUCAACUUCACGCGUUAGCUUCGUUACCAAGGAAUUACUUCCCCGACAACCAGUUGACAUCGUUUAGGGCGUGGACUAC